CAAGAUGUAGCUUAACCAAAGCACCCGGCUUACACCCGGAAGACUUCAUACUCACAUGAACGUCUUGA
rnacentral:tRNA from 1 species